rnacentral:rRNA from 1 species
AACGAACGCUGGCGGCAGGCCUAACACAUGCCAGUCGAGCGAGGACUUCGGUUCUAGCGGCGGACGGGUGAGUAACGCGUGGGAAUGUGCCCUUCUCUACGGAAUAGCCCUGGGAAACUGGGAGUAAUACCGUAUACGCCCUAUUGGGGAAAGAUUUAUCGGAGAAGGAUCAGCCCGCGUUGGAUUAGGUAGUUGGUGGGGUAAUGGCCUACCAAGCCGACGAUCCAUAGCUGGUUUGAGAGGAUGAUCAGCCACACUGGGACUGAGACACGGCCCAGACUCCUACGGGAGGCAGCAGUGGGGAAUCUUAGACAAUGGGGGCAACCCUGAUCUAGCCAUGCCGCGUGAGUGAUGAAGGCCUUAGGGUUGUAAAGCUCUUUCAGCUGGGAAGAUAAUGACGGUACCAGCAGAAGAAGCCCCGGCUAACUCCGU